GGGUGAGUAACACGUGGAUAACCUACCUAUAAGACUGGGAUAACUUCGGGAAACCGUAGCUAAUACUGGAUAAUAUUUUGAACCGCAUGGUUCAAAAGUGAAAGACGGUCUUGCUGUCACUUAUAGAUGGAUCCGCGCUGCAUUAGCUAGUUGGUAAGGUAACGGCUUACCAAGGCAACGAUGCAUAGCCGACCUGAGAGGGUGAUCGGCCACACUGGAACUGAGACACGGUCCAG
rnacentral:rRNA from 1 species